rnacentral:misc_RNA from 1 species
AUGUCCUGUUGCUAUCCGCCUCGCCUGAGCGCGGGAGAC